GACGAACGCUGGCGGCGUGCUUAACACAUGCAAGUCGAACGGACAGGUCCUGCUUUUGUGGGGUGCUCGAGUGGCGAACGGGUGAGUAACACGCGAGUAACAUGCCCUUGAAUUUGGGAUAACUUCAGGAAAAUGGGGCUCAUAUCGCAUAGGAGAUCCUGCUGCAUGGUGGGGGUUGGAAAGUUUCGGCGGUUGGGGAUGGACUAGCGGCUUCUCAGCUUGUUGGUGGGGUAGUGGAUUACCAGGGGUUCGACGGGUAGCCGGCCUGAGAGGGUAACCGGCCACAUGAGUACUGAGAUACGGCGCAGUCUCGUACGGGAGGCAGCAGUGGAGAAUAUUGCACAAUGGGCGGAAGCCUGAUGCAGCGGCGCCGCGUGCGGGAUGACGUCCUACGGGUUGAAAACCGCUGUCUCCUGAGACGAGGCGGGAGUGACGGUAAUGGGUAAAGAAGCACCGGCUAACUACGUG
rnacentral:rRNA from 1 species